rnacentral:rRNA from 1 species
UUGAGGCGUGGCUUCCGGAGCUAACGCGUUAAAUCGACCGCCUGGGGAGUACGGCCGCAAGGUUAAAACUCAAAUGAAUUGACGGGGGCCCGCACAAGCGGUGGAGCAUGUGGUUUAAUUCGAUGCAACGCGAAGAACCUUACCUACUCUUGACAUCCAGAGAACUUUCCAGAGAUGGAUUGGUGCCUUCGGGAACUCUGAGACAGGUGCUGCAUGGCUGUCGUCAGCUCGUGUUGUGAAAUGUUGGGUUAAGUCCCGCAACGAGCGCAACCCUUAUCCUUUGUUGCCAGCGGUUCGGCCGGGAACUCAAAGGAGACUGCCAGUGAUAAACUGGAGGAAGGUGGGGAUGACGUCAAGUCAUCAUGGCCCUUACGAGUAGGGCUACACACGUGCUACAAUGGCAUAUACAAAGAGAAGCGACCUCGCGAGAGCAAGCGGACCUCAUAAAGUAUGUCGUAGUCCGGAUUGGAGUCUGCAACUCGACUCCAUGAAGUCGGAAUCGCUAGUAAUCGUAGAUCAGAAUGCUACGGUGAAUACGUUCCCGGGCCUUGCACUCCCCGCCCGUCAAAA